GCGAACAGGGGCUGCUAACAGGGAGUUUCGAGAGGAAGUUGAGUGGGAAGGGGGCAAGGACGAAAUGCAGAGACAAAAUUUCUUGAUACUUUAAAUGACCGCUUCUUGGAGCAGCUGCACAGGAACCCACAAGAUGAGCGGCAAUUCACAAUUUAGUCCUGAGUGGAGCGCAGGUUCUGGUCCAAGAGGCAACCCUAUGUGAUAUCAGUCUGGUGAGGAUAACAGAGGUGGAAAGGAAGGAGAUGCUGCAAGCGGCUGGAUAUAGACCUGAUCCUUAUGCUGCAAUGCUGUGUACUGCAAUGAUGCCAGCAGAAUUAAUUCAGGAGUUGUGUGGGAAAGUGUCCUAUCAUGGUGGAAGAAAUAAGACUGCCCUGCCCAGAAAUCUUGUGCAAAGGAUUUCAGAGCAUACCUCCAAGAAAGUUUCCUAGAGAUAUCCAUGGAGGAUCCCUGGGCUAUCCCAGUCCAAAUAAACAGUCUUUUCCGGGGGCCACCCUCUGCGUAGCUGGAGGGGCCUCUUGUAAGCAAAGAACCACAUCACCUUGCUUUUUCUUCAGAGUAAACAUGCAAUACCACUGAAUGUGUGUGCCCGCUAGAGUUUAACUGGACUUUGAUUGUAACUGUAU